GACAGAGGGUGCAAACGUUGUUCGGAAUUACUGGGCGUAAAGGGCUCGUAGGCGGCCAACUAAGUCGGAUGUGAAAUCCCCAGGCUUAACCUGGGAACUGCAUUCGAUACUGGAUGGCUUGAAUCCGGGAGAGGGAUGCAGAAUUCCAGGUGUAGCGGUGAAAUGCGUAGAUAUCUGGAGGAAUACCGGUGGCGAAGGCGGCAUCCUGGACCGGCAUUGACGCUGAGGAGCGAAAGCUAGGGGAGCAAACGGG
rnacentral:rRNA from 1 species